CUCUUCAUAUCUCAUUGUCUGCGCUAGAAGAGAUCCCACAAGAAUUUCCAAAUAUUUUUACACUUCAAUUGAUCGACUUACAUGACUGCUGUAUUCACCUGGCCAUAUCAGCACAGCAGAUUCAAAAAGAGCAAGAAGCCACUUAUGGAAGCCAAGUGACAAAUGUCCAUACAUACAAUUGUGGACAAGGUAAGAUCAUCCAUGUUUGAUCAUGCUUUGACAAAUAUAACAUAUUACCAAGCUUUUUUGUGAGUGUUAAAUAUUUCUUUAUACUGGAGUUUUGAUUCGAUCAACUUCAUGACUAAUGUGUUAAAAAAGCUAUCGACUGAAUUGAAGGAAGAAGAGAAAGGGAGAGGUGAGGGGCAAAUUCCAAAAUGAAUAAAACUUCUGAACAUAUUUUGACUAAACAAACUAUACUAAAGCCUUCUAAUCCUUUCAUUUCUCUUGUCGCCGUUUCAACAACAAUAACAACGACAAAUCUAGUGUGAUCCCACAAGUAGGGUCUUAGGAGAAUAGUGUCUAUGCAAUAUUACCCUUACCUUGUGAGGGUAAAGAUAUCUUGUGGCUGUUUCAUACGGUAAAAUUAGAUGCACAUUGCUUAUAACCUGUUUGGCCAAGCUGCAAAAAUAAGCUUAUUUUGAGAAGUGUUUUUUUACAAAAGUGCUUUUCUCAAAAGUACUUUUGGUGAGAAACAGUUUAUGUUUGGCUAAUUAGUUUGAAAAGCACUUCUGAGCAGCAAUUAGUGGUUGGCCAAGCUUUAAAAACUGCUUUUAAGUGUAUUUUUCUCAAAAAUGCUUCUCAAAAAAGUGCUUUUGGAGAGAAGCUACUUUUUUCUGUUUCUCCAAAACUGUUUGUGCUUCUCCUCAAAAAGUACUUUUUUCCCUUUCAGAAGCUUGGCCAAAUACCUUAAUUUUUUACCAAAAGUGCUUUUGGCAAAAAAAAAAAAUACUUUUGGCCAAAAAUAAGCUUGGCCAAACAGGCUAUUAGUCUCCUGCACUCCUCUCUUCUCUUUAACUUGACAAUUCGAGUACAGUAGAAGUUUUUUAAUAUGGUUGAGGAAAUAUUAAUACAAUUUUUUUUUUAAAUUUGACAUGUCGAAACACUUGAAUUAUUUGAAUUGCGCUGAAUUCUUAGAGUAACUUUGUUACAUUUGGAUUUUGGCAUACCACUUAUGCACCAACUUUUAUAACAAUAAUAUCAUUGGAAAUGAUUUAACAAAGAAAGAGCUAGAAUUAUAUUGGUUUUGAACUUGUUUAUUACUAGUAUCUUUUAAAUGCGUGAAGAUUAUAAUUCAACUGUAAUUUGAUGAUUAAGAUGCUAAUAUUUGUACUUCUUUUCUUUUUCAUAGCUUACUGCUUCCAAUGUCAACAUUUACUGAAGAGAAAUUCCGGCUGACUGAGGAAGGUAGCUGCAACCAUACUUCAUCAGAUCUUUCUAUUUUCCGUGAGCAUGGUGUUAAGAAAUUAAGAUCCUUAUGCAUUUGGUUUUGUUUUUAUUUCUUGCUUUUCAAUUUCAGUCAUCAUUUUUUAAGGCGAAAAUAAUAUUUGAACAAAAAAUACCCCUACUUAACACACUAAUAUGAACUACUGAAUAUUGGAAUAAAAUAUAUCAGAGGAAAAUGUGUGUCAUGAACUCCAGAUUUGAUUAUUUCUAUAUUCCAGUUUUAUUCAGCAGUGAAUAGCACAAAAAUUAUAGUAAAGGCAAUUUUAGAAAAUUGAGAGCAUUCAAAUCAAUUUGGUUGCUUCACCUGUUAUCUUUCUCUCGCCGGCGACGGUACUGGAAAGCCAACGUUGCGACGUGACGGCAAUCUCCGGUACCGCUCAACAAUCUCUGGAAAGAACUUUCCCGAUGGAUCGACGGAACCCUAACUUCAAUGAUUCUGCAUUCAAAAUUGUGAAAAUUAAUUGGUAUGGUUGGACUUGUCUCACGAGUACAGAGGUCAGAGAUGAUAAUAGUUAUGGUUUCUUAUUCAAAUUCAUUGCAACUCUUUUGAAUGUUUUCACAUAUACUCCCUCCUUUCAUUUUCUCCAGUUCAAACUUUAAACUCCAUGAGCAAUUUUUGGAGUUCGAACUAAUAAAAAUUUAAAUUCCAUGAAUUUUGUUUUUCGAGACAUCUCAUACUUCAAAAUAAUUCAUGGUAUUCAAAAAACUUUUAAAAUAGUGACUAAUGUUUGAUAGCAAGAAAUGGC
rnacentral:lncRNA from 1 species